rnacentral:misc_RNA from 1 species
UGUGUUGCCUACCCAAGUGAAGGUAUUGUGAGGAUUGAACCUAGUCCCUUUCGUCUUGUGUUACACUUGUGGUACGAGAUGAACCGUGUGAAGCAGCUUUCUAUGAUCCACAUCAUUGACGUGCAUGUGUUAAUAUUGUGGCCCAUUAAGCUCUGCUUGGUCUUGAGAAUAUAGAAGCUAAUGUGGGCACGGGUUCUUCAUUGAAGCCUUGUUUACGGUUCUCUAAAAUGACUUCC